rnacentral:antisense_RNA from 1 species
CUUGAUCGAGCCGAGCAGCAACGGCUGGUCGCGGUCCUGCCCGUAGGUGGCGAGCAGGGCCUGUGCCUC